GCCCAUACCUGCCCUAAAGGCACCAGAUCCCAUCUGAUCAUGGGAGCUAAGCAGGGUUAGCCCUAGUUAGUACUUGGAUGGAGGAUCACUAACAAAUAUCAGGUCAUGUAGGCU
rnacentral:rRNA from 1 species